rnacentral:rRNA from 1 species
AUUGAACGCUGGCGGCAGGCCUAACACAUGCAAGUCGAACGAGUGGCGGACGGGUGAGUAAUGUCUGGGAAACUGCCUGUUGGAGGGGGAUAACUACUGGAAACGGUAGCUAAUACCGCAUACCAUCGGAUGUGCCCAGAUGGGAUUAGCUAGGAGGUGGGGUAACGGCUCACCUAGGCGACGAUCCCUAGCUGGUCGGAGAGGAUGGCCAGCCACACGGGAAAUUAGACACGGUCCAUACUCCGACGGGAGGCAACAGUGGGGAAUAUUGCACAAUGGGCGCAAGCCUGAUGCAGCCAUGCCGCGUGUAUGAAGAAGGCCUUCGGGUUGUAAAGUACUUUCAGCGAGGAGGCGUUACUCGCAGAAGAAGCACCGGCUAACUCCGUGCCAGCCGCCGCGGUAAUUC